AGCCGUGGCUUUCUGGUUAAAUACCGUCAAUAUCUGAACAGUUACUCUCAGAUAUGUUCUUCUUUAACAACAGAGUUUUACGAGCCGAAACCCUUCUUCACUCACGCGGCGUUGCUCCAUCAGACUUUCGUCCAUUGNGGAAGAUUCCCUACUGCUGCCUCCCGUAGGAGUAGGGGGAANNUNNCACANUGGACNAANGUNUGAUGGAGCAACGCCGCGUGAGUGAAGAA
rnacentral:rRNA from 1 species